UUCCGUAGGUGAACCUGCGGAAGGAUCAUUACAGAAUGAAAAGUGCUUAACUGCAUUUUUUCUUACACAUGUGUUUUUCUUUUUUUGAAAACUUUGCUUUGGUAGGCCUUCUAUAUGGGGCCUGCCAGAGAUUAAACUCAACCAAAUUUUAUUUAAUGUCAACCGAUUAUUUAAUAGUCAAAACUUUCAACAACGGAUCUCUUGGUUCUCGCAUCGAUGAAGAACGCAGCGAAAUGCGAUAAGUAAUAUGAAUUGCAGAUAUUCGUGAAUCAUCGAAUCUUUGAACGCACAUUGCGCCCUUUGGUAUUCCAAAGGGCAUGCCUGUUUGAGCGUCAUUUCUCCCUCAAACCCUCGGGUUUGGUGUUGAGCGAUACGCUGGGUUUGCUUGAAAGAAAGGCGGAGUAUAAACUAAUGGAUAGGUUUUUUCCACUCAUUGGUACAAACUCCAAAACUUCUUCCAAAUUCGACCUCAAAUCAGGU
rnacentral:rRNA from 1 species